rnacentral:lncRNA from 1 species
AGGGCUUGAUUUUUUUUAACUAAAUGAAGUCAAGGCCCUUAUAUAAGAGUAAAGUAACAGAAUGAAGUUAGGGAGGCCACGGAGCUGGUGUGUACAUUACAACUUUAGGUCCAACCCUCAAAGGAAAACCCAAAGGCUGCUUGUGCAGAAACAAUGUAACAGACUCGGGAGCCUGUUGAUUCUGUUCACGCCGACCCUGGGGAGGUUCUCUGCCCCGACACCCCACAUUAGUCUGGAUCAGGGUGAGUCACUGAGAGUGGGCGUGAGGAAAGAGUUAUUCCUCAAGCCCGCACCUUCGGGGUCCUGA